GUGAGGAAUAUUGCGCAAUGGAGGCAACUCUGACGCAGCCAUGCCGCGUGCAGGAAGAAGGCGCUACGCGUUGUAAACUGCUUUUAACCGGGACGAAACCCCAGGACGUGUCCUGGGUUGACGGUACCGGAGGAAUAAGCACCGGCUAACUUCGUGCCAGCAGCCGCGGUAAUACGAAGGGUGCAAGCGUUAGCCGGAUUCAUUGGGUUUAAAGGGUGCGUAGGCGGAGCGUUAAGUCAGUGGUGAAAUCCUGCAGCUUAACUGUAGACUUGCCAUUGAUACUGGCGCUCUUGAGUGCGCUUGAAGUGGGCGGAAUGUGCCGUGUAGCGGUGAAAUGCUUAGAUAUGGCACAGAACACCAAUUGCGAAGGCAGCUCACUAAGGCGAUACUGACGCUGAGGCACGAAAGCGUGGGGAUCGAACAGGAUUAGAAACCCUAGUAGUCC
rnacentral:rRNA from 1 species